rnacentral:tRNA from 1 species
GCGCCAGUAGCUCAGUUGGUUAGAGCAGCUGACUCUUAAUCAGCGGGUCCGGGGUUCGAAUCCCUGCUGGCGCA